AAAGAGCUAUAACCGCUCAUUAAAGGGUUUUGAAGUAUUUGCUCUUAGCAAAACACCCCUCAUGGCGAGUCUGAGUAUAUUA
rfam:Anaerobacillus sp. NB2006 Ga0137927_1036, whole genome shotgun sequence.